rfam:Ictidomys tridecemlineatus contig127735, whole genome shotgun sequence.
GGUGCUGUGGCUCAGUGGCAGAGCACUUGCCCAACAUGUGUGAAGCACUGGGUUCGAUCCUCAGCACCA